rnacentral:tRNA from 1 species
GGUCUUAUAGUUUAAAAAAAAUAUUAAAUUGCAAAUUUAAAGUUAAUUAAGUUUAAGACUU